UCAAAAUUAUAUAUAUAAGAAAAAUCAAUCAGAAUGUGUGAGCCUUUUAUUUGGCUCACUUGAGGACACAUGCACACACAUAUGGCAAAUUUUUGCUCAAACUUGUUGAAAAUUUUGAUUGACAUUCAUCCAGCAGUAUGCCCAACAUCAAAUUCGUCAACAAGCCUUUGAGAAGUUAAUCAACACUGAAGUUAUGAAGCUCAAAUCAAUGUUGAUUGCCAAUGUACCUUCAUAUAGUCUUUCUCCUUCAGACAGUGUACCAACGCCUUAAUGUCACAACCAUUCUUCUCCUCCACUAGAUACGGUUGCUACUGCCAAAACCCCUAAUGUCCAGCCUGCUAAUGAUGAUGUUCAGCCGCGUACUGCUGCUCAAGUUGAGGGGGAGUUAUCCAACGUUGUAGCCCAAACUCAGGCUCAAAUAUAUCAUGCUACUGGUCCUCAAAUUCCAGACAUUUAGGGGGAGUCUACUACUCUUGGGGAGCAAUCUCAAUCGUCCCCAGAUGCUUCUAUCACACCACCAAGGGAGUCUAUGAAGAACAGGCCUAGACUCAAGACAACUGGUCUUUGAUUAUGAUCACUGAGGGGGAUAAUUUGGUGUUUUUUGAAUGACAAUUUUUGUUGUUGUUGUUUCUAUGACUGGUUAUUUUCGUUUAGUCUUUAUAGUCUCAAUUUAGUCUAGUGUUAUUUGUUGAACUUGUACUUUGCUCACUUGACUUUUUUCUUUUUGGUUUAGAAUUGGUAUUCGUUAUUGUUA